AUUGAAUUAAUCUGUCAUCUUGUCUCUUUUAUACCAUUCGAUUGAGACCUUCUAUUCCAUUUGCUCAUUAUUUGGGGGCUAAAUGUAAAGUAGGAAUUCAUGAACAUAAAUAUUUCAAAAUUUAGCCCCCGGAAAUGGUGACCUUCUAUCGUAGAUGUUAAAGUGCAGCCUAGACAUCAACAGAAUGAAUAUCAUUCUUCUUAGAAUUCUCUUGUCUAGCUUUGGCUUUUCAUAGAAACAUUGAGUUUCUUGUCCUGAUAAAAAUAUCAGCAGGACUUCUUGGAUGAUGAUAUACUGAUGGAGGAUCACUGAUGUGUUGGGAAUCUGCCUCUGCCUCACCACAUUGAGCCUUUUAUCUAGCAGCCGCGUUUUGAAGCUCUCAAAACAGAUAUGCCACUUUUCUAAAUUAUGCACAUGUUUUACCUCUAUAGUUGCUGUUCAUUUGAUCUCACGUUUAGCUGGUUAUUAGAUUUUGUGUGGGAUUUCAUAGUUACAUUUGUUACCAGCCCAAUUUAAUAACUGCGUAUAAUUUAAAAUUGGUAGGUAAACUUGUGUCAUGGGGGUUUGUUAUACAGACUAUUUCCUCACCCAGGUAUUAAGCCAGUACCCAGUCGUUAUUUCUUUCUGCUUCUCACCCUCCUCCCUCCCUCCACCCUCAGGUAGACCCCAGUAUCUGUUGUUCCCCUCUUUGUGUCCAUGUGUUCUUAUUUAACUCCCAUUUAUAAG
rnacentral:lncRNA from 1 species